rnacentral:rRNA from 1 species
UACGUAGGUGGCAAGCGUUGUCCGGAAUUACUGGGCAUAAAGCGCGCGUAGGUGGUCCUGUAAGCGGGGGAUGAAAGCCCAUGGCUCACCCAUGGAACUGUCCUUCGGACUGCAGGGCUGGAGGGCGGGAGGGGAGAAUGGAAUUCCCGGUGUAGCGGUGAAAUGCGUAGAUAUCGGGAGGAACGCCGGUGGCGAAAGCGAUUCUCUGGCCCGUUCCUGACACUGAGGCGCGAAAGCUAGGGGAGCAAACAGG